rnacentral:siRNA from 1 species
GUCAAAAACAGGGCUUCUUGGACU